rnacentral:rRNA from 1 species
GACGAACGCUGGCGGCGUGCUUAACACAUGCAAGUCGAACGGAAAGGCCCUGCUUUUGUGGGGUGCCCGAGUGGCGAACGGGUGAGUAACACGUGAGUAACCUGCCCUUGACUUUGGGAUAACUUCAGGAAACUGGGGCUAAUACCGGAUAGGAGCUCCUGCUGCAUGGUGGGGGUUGGAAAGUUUCGGCGGUUGGGGAUGGACUCGCGGCUUAUCAGCUUGUUGGUGGGGUAGUGGCUUACCAAGGCUUUGACGGGUAGCCGGCCUGAGAGGGUGACCGGCCACAUUGGGACUGAGAUACGGCCCAGACUCCUACGGGAGGCAGCAGUGGGGAAUAUGGCACAAUGGGCGGAAGCCUGAUGCAGCAACGCCGCGUGCGGGAUGACGGCCUUCGGGUUGUAAACCGCUUUCGCCUGUGACGAAGCGUGAGUGACGGUAAUGGGUAAAGAAGCACCGGCUAACUACGUG